rnacentral:rRNA from 1 species
CAGCCGCCGCGGGAAUACGUAGGGUGCGAGCGUUAAUCGGAAUUACUGGGCGUAAAGCGUGCGCAGGCGGUUUGUUAAGACAGAUGUGAAAUCCCCGGGCUUAACCUGGGAACUGCAUUUGUGACUGGCCGGCUAGAGUAUGGCAGAGGGAGGUGGAAUUCCACGUGUAGCAGUGAAAUGCGUAGAUAUGUGGAGGAACACCGAUGGCGAAGGCAGCCUCCUGGGCCAAUACUGACGCUCAUGCACGAAAGCGUGGGGAGCAAACAGGAUUAGAUACCCCCGUAGUCCCUGUCUCUUAUAC